ACCACUUAGUUUCGCACUACACAACUUGGACAGCGAUCUUCAGAUUUAAACUACCACGAUGAUAGAUAACAGUAGCACGCUGAGUUCUACACUAUAUGUCAAAGGCAAUUGCAAUGGUUAAAAUUUAAUUUUAAGCUUAAAGUGAAACUUGAAAUGUCUGGCUGUAAUAUUUGUGGAAGAUUCGCCAGGGACUGCCUAAUCCUUUUUUCCCUCAGGGUUUUGUUUUCAGAAAUUGAUAAUUGAAUUUCUCUUUCGUAGCAAGCAUAAAAAAGCGUAAUGGCAUGUUUUUGUUUUUCACUGGCACGGAGCCAAUGUAUUUUGUUAGAUUAAAUUUCCAAUUUUGAUAGACAACUCGUUUUGUUCGUACACAGAUCUUGACCAAUAUAAUAACUCAAAUUGAUUCACCCUUGAUCUGUUCUUGGAACUAUCAAGGUGAUCUUUAAUUACUACAACCACGAACAAAAUAUUAUUUUGAUUUUUGACCAUGCCAAAAAAAAAACAAAAACAAAAAACAAAAAAAAAAACACCAAGAAAAUUGUUAGCUUUGUAUGAGCCCUGAAAUUGAAGAAAAAUCCUCGCUUUCCGUGCCUAUCUUCCAGAAAAAUAUAAUGAUAUGCAACUCGCGUUCUCCUAUAUUGGAUAUGACCAAGCGAAGUGCAUUAGCUCAGACAGCUGAUAAGGAACAAAAAAAAACACCAAAAACAAAGCAAAAAAAUGAAAGAGUAGCCAGUGAUUUGAUACAUUGAGUUCCACCAUGUUAUACUUUCUAUUUAAGCUGUCCAAUUCGAGCAAAUGGGCCUUAACCUUUGUUCCACUGGUAUUUAAGCGAUUAUUUAACGAUGGCAAUGAAAUCGUAACCACUAAGGAAAAGGCACUAAGGCAGCUGUAACAACAUAAAAACGUUAUGGAAAUGAAGUUAUCAAGACGUAAGGUUUUUCGCUCAAUAUAAACUCGUUUGGGUUUUCACAUUCCCUCAUAUUUUAGUUUCAAUAGCUUACUUUCGGAAGUCUUUCCCUCCAAUUGAAGCGUCAUAACUUUGUCAUACCUGUCAAGAAACGCCAAAAGGGAACAAAACUGCACUGCUCAUUGGUUCGCUGCCAAGUGUUUCCAACAGAAAGGGAUUCAAUUUUGCCAAGGAGUAAUCGCAGAAAGUUAAUUGUUUGUCCCCGUGGACUCCAAACUUAAGGAAAUGACGAAUGCUGAGCAUAUAACUUAACUGCUUCUUCAUAAUAAAGAGCUCUGUUAGAGCUGAGCUGAAUAGACGUGAAAUCUUCAAUUUGGGAGGCGUGAAAUGUAAGAAGAAGACGUGAAGUGUAAGAAGCCUGACAACAAAGCCACUCAUCACGAAGGCAAUUUCGAGUGACUUCCCACAAUUUCAAGGAUUUUCGAGAAACAUGUAAAACUGUCAUAUGAACCGCAGUGGUUCGGUAUCGCCGGGAAAGCCAUAUCAAACUGAUACUGAAACAAAGAUGCAGCUUGCGACGAAUGUGUCGAUGCUUUCAGCCCAAAACUUAACCGUUUCACCGACAGGUUUGAGUGAAGAAACGUGUUUUAUGUUUGAUGUGAAUUUUCAUACGACGAGGUACCUUUACGUUGUUCACAUCAUCACGUCGAUUAUAAAUGCCUCGUUCUCUUUGACAGCCAUAGCGGGAAAUGCAGUGGUGAUUUUCACAGUUUGGGCGACACCUUCUCUGUAUUCUCCUUCGAAUAUUCUCAUCUGUUGUCUCGCUGGGAGUGACUUAAUGGUUGGCUUGCUAACUCAGCCAUGUUUGUUCUGCACAAAAUUGGCGAGAUUUUCCACCGCUUGGAAAUGUAUUGCAUCACGCGGAUGCUGCUUGAAUCCACUGCAAACAUCACCGCAGGAGCCUCUGUUUUCAUCAUGGCUGCAACAAGCAUCGAGAGAUGGUUAGCCCUCCGCCUUCAUUUACGAUACAACGAACUUGUCACGGUGAGACGCGUUCUGACAACAGUAUCCUUUCUCUGGAUUUUUCUCAUUGUUUUGGCAGUUUUCCGUGUGUUUCUGAUUCGCCCAAAGAUCUAUAACACCAUUUUAAUAACCUUUGUUUCUCUGUGUUUGUUCUGCACAUAUCUUGCCUAUGUAAAGAUUUUGCAAUGCGUUCGACAUCACGAGCGACGUAUACAAGGCAUCAUUACCGGGAUUGGUUUAGCCCAAACGGAAGAAAAGGCUGGUACACUAAAGAGCCUUAUACGCUACAAGAGGUCAACAAUCUCUAUGUUUCUCAUUGUUGGUGUGUUUUCAGCGUGUUUCUUGCCGUUACUGAGCGUGUCAUUGGCACAUCAGAUCUGGGGAUACACCGUCGGCGUGAAGGCGGCGUACGCAUUUGUGUCAUCGUUAGCAUUCAUCAACAGCUCCAUUAACCCUUUGUUGUACUGUUGGCGCAUGAAAUCUUUGCGAAACGCUAUGAAGGCAACAUUUAAAAGGCGAUCGUUCAAAGCGUGGCGCUGAGACCACUCAACGCAAUAUAAAUUCAAGCGUUGGCUUCGAAAAUGAGUACAGCUUAGCUAAGUACAUGAUUGAGGAGAAUGUAAAUCAAUUUCAUUCAAAAUCAAACAGAACAACUCGAAAAUUGCACCUCGUUUAAUGGGCAAAAUCCAAGUGUCCGGGAAAAAACACCUCCGAGCAGAGAAGAGAGAUAACAAACUCAACACAGAAACCGUGUCCAAACCGGAAUGGAACCCAGGUCACAUCGGUGGAACAAAACUUUGGUUUUACGAAACGAGUUGGUUAAGAUUGAAUUACCACCGUGAGAGAUUUAGGAAGCUGACGUUUCGAGCGAUAGUCCUUCGUCAUAGCAAUUCGCUCUUACGACGGACUAUCGCUGGAAACGUCAGCUUUCUGAAUCUUUGACGGUGGUAAUUCAACCUUUAUCAACUCGUUUGAUAAAACCAA